AUUUCCUUCUUUUCAUUUAGGUGUGAUAAUAAAAUGAAGGACAAGUGAAAAAGAAAAGGAGAAGAAAGGUGUGUUUCGUUCGAAAGUAGCUGCACCAGGAAUGUGAGCUGGAAUGAUUUACGAUUCUUUGCAAGUCAUAAAAACAUCAGCUAUAAGGGAUGGAAAGUUUUUGCAAAGAUUUGAAAGAAAAUUUACGAUGUGCUCUCAAGUUUCGAUAUAGUGGAACAGUAUCUUUAAUUACGAGGUAAAAUGAUUGGUCUUGAUAGUUGACGCGAAUCUUUAAUAUAUCGGUGGCGAUAAAUUAGUAAAAUCUCGAUUGACUAUAAUUUCUUCGAGGUAUGGCAUCGUUUCGAAAUAAAAUUUUUUAUCCUUGUGGAAAAGAAUUCGAUAUCUUAAUAACUCGUAACACUUGAGAAAUUAUUAGGUAUUUUGAUAUGGAUAAUUACUAGUUAGUAAAUUAGUCUUGUAGAAUUUAGUGCUGUUAUUUAAGGCUUUAAUUUCAGGUUCUCUAUAAAAAUAAAAUCUAUUUACUCGUUUCGUAAAUAAACAAGUGACCUCGAGAUAGUUUGAAUAAAAUUUCAUUUUAAUUGUGCUGAUUAAUUAUAGAUAUGAUUCCGAAGAAUUAAUUGCUAUAAUGAUGUCCAAGUUUGAUCGAAUAAAGUUACUUUUGAUCUUACGGAUCGCAGAAUCUAUAAAUGAUCUGUCUAUAUUAAAUUAUCGAAAAAACUAUAUAAUUUUCGAUUAAUUGAGGGGUAUUUCUUUGGAAAAAAGAAUGGUCGAUCACAGCAUGCAAUUUGUAACUGGUUCUAAGUACUCGAUAUUGAUGAACAAAUUAUGAUUAAUGUCGUAAAAAAAAAGAUAAUUAAAAGUUUAAAAAAUGAACAAUGAAAAGUACUCACCUUCUUACGAUGCGGACAGCAAGAAGAUCCAUUGCCCAUGGUUCGAUCCUUCAAACGAAAGCGAAAGAAUCAACUCUCACACUAAUUCAUAACACUUUAAUACAACGCUUCCAAAAUUUUCUUCGCACAAUCAUUUCUUUCUUUCUUCACCGCUGUUUCAAGAAAAUUGCAGGCUUAUUAUCGCGUUGGUAUUCGAGCCAACCAUUCCAUCGAUAGUCCAAUCGCUUUUAUUAACAAUCUCGACAAGAUCACCUUCUCGUAAGUUUUAUAUCUGAUCCGAAGGAAAAGGUAAUC